rnacentral:rRNA from 1 species
GUCGAACGCUGGCGGCGUGCUUAACACAUGCAAGUCGUACGGUAAGGCCCUUUCGGGGGUACACGAGUGGCGAACGGGUGAGUAACACGUGAGUAACCUGCCCACAACUUUGGGAUAACGCUAGGAAACUGGUGCUAAUACUGGAUAUGUGCUCCUGCUGCAUGGUGGGGGUUGGAAAGCUCCGGCGGUUGUGGAUGGACUCGCGGCCUAUCAGCUUGUUGGUGGGGUAGUGGCCUACCAAGGCGGCGACGGGUAGCCGGCCUGAGAGGGUGACCGGCCACAUUGGGACUGAGAUACGGCCCAGACUCCUACGGGAGGCAGCAGUGGGGAAUAUUGCACAAUGGGCGCAAGCCUGAUGCAGCAACGCCGCGUGCGGGAUGACGGCCUUCGGGUGGUAAACCGCUUUCAGCAGGGACGAAGCUUUUUGUGACGGUACCUGCAGAAGAAGCACCGGCUAACUACG